rnacentral:rRNA from 1 species
UGAGGAAUAUUGGUCAAUGGGCGAGAGCCUGAACCAGCCAAGUAGCGUGCAGGAAGACGGCCCUAUGGGUUGUAAACUGCUUUUAUGUGGGGAUAAAGUGCGUGACGUGUCAUGCAUUGCAGGUACCACAUGAAUAAGGACCGGCUAAUUCCGUGCCAGCAGCCGCGGUAAUACGGAAGGUCCGGGCGUUAUCCGGAUUUAUUGGGUUUAAAGGGAGCGUAGGCUGUCUAUUAAGCGUGUUGUGAAAUAUACCGGCUCAACCGGUGGCUUGCAGCGCGAACUGGUCGACUUGAGUAUGCAGGAAGUAGGCGGAAUUCAUGGUGUGGCGGUGAAAUGCUUAGAUAUCAUGACGAACUCCGAUUGCGCAGGCAGCUUACUGUAGCAUAACUGACGCUGAUGCUCGAAAGUGCGGGUAUCAAACAGG